rnacentral:rRNA from 1 species
GGCACCGCUGGGUAGCUAUGUUCGGAAGGGAUAACCGCUGAAGGCAUCUAAGCGGGAAGCCCACCCCAAGAUGAGGUAUCCCGUGGCACAAGCCACCUGAAGACCCCUUGUAGACUACAAGGUUGAUAGGCCGGAUGUGUAAGCGCAGCAAUGCGUUUAGCUAACCGGUACUAAUAGGUCGUGAGGCUUGACCAC